UACGUAGGGUGCGAGCGUUAAUCGGAAUUACUGGGCGUAAAGCGUGCGCAGGCGGUUUUGUAAGCCAGAUGUGAAAUCCCGGCGUACUGGAUGCAUUGGUACUGCAAGGCUUGAGUGCGGCAGAGGAGACUGGAAUUCCUGGUGUAGCAGUGAAAUGCGUAGAUAUCAGGAGGAAUACCGAUGGCGAAGGCAGGUCUCUGGGCUGACACUGACGCUCAUGCACGAAAGCGUGGGGAGCAAACAGGAUUAGAUA
rnacentral:rRNA from 1 species